rnacentral:pre_miRNA from 1 species
UAGCCUCUACUAGGCUUUGUCUGUGCAUUCGAAAGUCGAUCAGACAUAGCCUAUAAGAGGUUAGG